rnacentral:lncRNA from 1 species
AAGUCCUGGCAGCUUUGCUUAUACUGUGAGGGAAAAACUGCCUACGCAAGCUUCAGUAAUGUCUCUCCCCUUUCAAACAUAGUUCAAACAUAGUUUUCACGAAGAAAUCGUGACCAAACUUCACCAAUGCUCAUGCUAUAAUAACUGUACAUCUGAUUUGAACUCAGCUCCAAAGAAGACAACAUUCACAUGGCUUUAAUAUGCACGGAGAAGAAAAAGCAUCCAGAACAAUGGGCGAGAAGAAAUAAAAACUUGUUGUCUAAAUCAAAGGAUUGGUAUUCUCCAAAUCGUUGCUACCACAUUGAGCCAUUUUCUCUGGUAAGACCAACUGAAACGUGAGAAAGAACAAUAAUGUGAAUAAAACCAAUUUAUGCUUGGUAGGAAAUUGGAAAAAAUGGUAGCAGAGAUCUAAGCAUAUCUGUCUCUGAAAUAAGCUAGCACAAAACAGUACUUCCACCCUCUUUUUUACAUUGAGCCAUUUGAUUAACUAAGUCAACUUGAAUUUCUAGUCCAGCUCUCAGUACAAUGACUUGACAGCUUGCCUUUGGCACUUUGCUUAUGUGUUUGCUCAUACCUGGCAUAAACAAUCAAGACAAAAGCAAC